GACGAACGCUGGCGGCGUGCUUAACACAUGCAAGUCGAACGGAAAGGCCCUGCUUUUGUGGGGUGCUCGAGUGGCGAACGGGUGAGUAACACGUGAGUAACCUGCCCUUGACUUUGGGAUAACUUCAGGAAACUGGGGCUAAUACCGGAUAGGAGCUCCUGCUGCAUGGUGGGGGUUGGAAAGUUUCGGCGGUUGGGGAUGGACUCGCGGCUUAUCAGCUUGUUGGUGGGGUAGUGGCUUACCAAGGCUUUGACGGGUAGCCGGCCUGAGAGGGUGACCGGCCACAUUGGGACUGAGGUACGGCCCAGACUCCUACGGGAGGCAGCAGGGGGGAAUAUUGCACAAUGGGCGGAAGCCUGAUGCAGCAACGCCGCGUGCGGGAUGACGGCCUUCGGGUUGUAAACCGCUUUCGCCUGUGACGAAGCGUGAGUGACAGUAAUGGGUAAAGAAGCACCGGCUAACUACGUG
rnacentral:rRNA from 1 species